rnacentral:rRNA from 1 species
UUUAUGGAGAGUUUGAUCCUGGCUCAGGAUGAACGCUGGCGGCGUGCCUAAUACAUGCAAGUCGAGCGAACGGACGAGAAGCUUGCUUCUCUGAUGUUAGCGGCGGACGGGUGAGUAACACGUGGAUAACCUACCUAUAAGACUGGGAUAACUUCGGGAAACCGGAGCUAAUACCGGAUAAUAUUUUGAACCGCAUGGUUCAAAAGUGAAAGACGGUCUUGCUGUCACUUAUAGAUGGAUCCGCGCUGCAUUAGCUAGUUGGUAAGGUAACGGCUUACCAAGGCAACGAUGCAUAGCCGACCUGAGAGGGUGAUCGGCCACACUGGAACUGAGACACGGUCCAGACUCCUACGGGAGGCAGCAGUAGGGAAUCUUCCGCAAUGGGCGAAAGCCUGACGGAGCAACGCCGCGUGAGUGAUGAAGGUCUUCGGAUCGUAAAACUCUGUUAUUAGGGAAGAACAUAUGUGUAAGUAACUGUGCACAUCUUGACGGUACCUAAUCAGAAAGCCACGGCUAACUACGUGCCAGCAGCCGCGGUAAUACGUAGGUGGCAAGCGUUAUCCGGAAUUAUUGGGCGUAAAGCGCGCGUAGGCGGUUUUUUA